GAUUCACAGUGGAAAUCAGGGCAGGUGGUUUCUCCUCAAGCAUGGUUCGUUCAUGGUCUACUAGCUUUUCGAACAAGUCAGAGAAGGAGAUCGGGUUGUCUCUCAUCUUCACCGCGGCUGUUACCUGCUUGUAGUCAUAUCCCAGAUCGGUUAUGACGUGAACGAUUAGGUCAUCGUCAUCAACAGGUUUCUGUGCAAAGGGUAGCUCGUCAGCGAUUGCUUUCAUUUCACGAAGAUAAUCUGCAACAGGUUUGCUUCCUUUGGUGGUUGUUGCGAGUUUGGAAUGGAGUGAAAUAAUACGGGAUCGAGACACUUCGGCGAAGCUUUCGGUGAGACGUUUGAAUAGCUCGAGCGAGGUGUCAGCAGAGGAUACGACGGGUAAAAUGGUGGCUGAGCAACUGCCGAGCAGAGCUCCCAGAAGAAUCUGGUCUUGCCGGAACCAUAGCCGGUAGGUGGGAUUGGUUUUUCCGUUAAGGGUUUUCGGUGGAGGUUCGGUUCGGCCGUCUUCAAAUUGUUCCAGUUCGAGACCACAGGACCUGUUUUCGCCAGGCCGUAAAAUUGUCGGAGGUGAGUUGGAUUGGAAAAUGGGUAUGGGUAGAAAGGGUAGUCACAGAAGUGGCCAUGGCUAAUCGGAAGUUAGGAGGUGUGGAUCGGAGACGAACUCGGAGGAGCCUUUGUUAGGGCUCUGAUACCAUAUGUGAUAUAAAGCUUUAGUAGAAAAGGUUGUGUUUACAUUGAUACAGAACAUGCCUUUAUAUAGGCCUUUACAAGAUGGAGCAAAAGCAUAAUUACAGGAAGCAUAAUUACAGGAGAAGAUCAAGCAUACGCAUCAGAAAAUGGAGGAAUGUCGGAGGAGGUUAUACGCCAAGUGUUUUUGAAAACCGAUGAAGAAUUUCUGGUGUCAGUCGAAAGGGAAUGGGAAAACAAUCCGAAAAUAGCCUCUGUUGGCUCAUGUUGUUUGGCUGGAGUCAUAUGCAAUUGAAUGUUGUACGUUGCAAAUGCUGGAGACUGAGGGCGGUACUGGGGAAGCUAGUUGAUAAAACUGAAAACGAAUCCAUGCCUGUCCGACUUUCACAGGAUCAUAAAACAAAAGUAAACAAGAUGAUUUCAGCAUUUGCAGUUCACAACAAUCAAUUGCAUACGACUCCAGCCAAACAACAUGAGCCGAACGAGGCUAUUUCUGGAUUAUUUACCAUUUACUUCCAACCAACAUUGCUAUAUGUUGAAGAAACCUUUGUAUAUCGAACGUAUCACAGAAGAAUGGAGUCAUGUUUACGUGAAACUCCAAGGUUUAUGAAUGAAAAAAAAAAUAUCAAAAGCAGCCUAGAAGAUUAUGCUAUGAUUUGGUAUAUAUAUAAGGAUAAGGAUUAUAUUCCUAUAUACACUCGAUCAUAACAUAUUUGUUUGAUAUUUGAAUUCAAAUGUUGACACUAGUUUAAAUUUAA